rnacentral:rRNA from 1 species
CCUACGGGAGGCAGCAGUGGGGAAUAUUGCACAAUGGGGGAAACCCUGAUGCAGCAACGCCGCGUGAGUGAAGAAGUAUUUCGGUAUGUAAAGCUCUAUCAGUAGGGAAGAAGAAAGACGGUACCUGACUAAGAAGCCCCGGCUAACUACGUGCCAGCAGCCGCGGUAAUACGUAGGGGGCAAGCGUUAUCCGGAUUUACUGGGUGUAAAGGGAGCGUAGACGGCUGUGCAAGUCUGAAGUGAAAGCCCGUGGCUCAACCGCGGAACUGCUUUGGAAACUGUAUAGCUUGAGUACUGGAGAGGCAAUCGGAAUUCCGUGUGUAGCGGUGAAAUGCGUAGAUAUACGGAGGAACACCAGUGGCGAAGGCGGCCUGCUGGACGACAACUGGCGGUGAGGCGCGAAAGCGUGGUGAGCAAACAGGAUUAGAUACCCGAGUAGUC